rnacentral:rRNA from 1 species
UAAAACAAACUGGGAUUAGAUACCCCACUAUGUAUGAUUGUUAACAUCGAUGAUUCAAUACCCAAAUCAUCCGCCUGGGUAAUACGAGCGCUAGCUUAAAAUCCAAAGGACUUGGCGGUGCUUUAGACCCCCCUAGAGGAGCCUGUUCUAGAACUGAUAACCCCCGUUAAACCUCACCAUCCCUUGUUUAAUCCGCCUAUAUACCACCGUCGUCAGCUUACCCUGUGAAGGAAAUAUAGUAAGCAUAAAUGGCAAAGCCAUAAACGUCAGGUCGAGGUGUAGCGAAUGGGCUGGGAAGAAAUGGGCUACAUUCUCUACCAUAGAGAAUACGAAUGGCCGUUUGAAAAAACUGCCUUGAAGGAGGAUUUAGCAGUAAGCAGAGAAUAGAGAGCUCCGCUGAAAACGGCCCUAAAACGCGCACACACCGCCCGUCACUCUCUCCAAAUACUCAUAAUUAUUUACCUAAAAUAUUUAAACUAACAAGGAGAGGCAAGUCGUAA